AUGGCAAUGAAGUGUUCCCAUGCUGGGCAUUCUGACUUUUAAAUAUAUAUUGACUGUCAAAGACUUCCUUCUCUUACAAAAUAUUUCGUGUAGGGGGGAUUUGGAAAUAUAGCUUACUUUAAGAAAACUAAGGGAUAUUUAAAAUGCCUCGGAAAUUAGAAGACAAGAAAAAAUCGCACUCCCUCAAGCCUUCUCACCUCGAUCUCUCAUUUUGAGAGAGGAGAAAACUUUCUAUCUCGAUAGCCUGUGUGAGUAACUUUGAUAGUGAGAGCUGAGUCCUUUGAUAUCCUGGAAUCUGCAAAUGUAGGUUGUACGUCUACCUCUCUCAGGCAAGGAGGUGCGACCUGGUGGGGCCCACCCUGUGGGAAUAUUCAUCUCCUAUAUUUGAGCAAGAUUCUGCUGAAAACUACACCUGCCUCCUCUACUAUACUGGCCAAAGCCAAGAAUAGCUCAAAUCAGAGCUAUUCUCUGGUGUUCAGAGCCCUUAUGGGGGGAGAUUUGUGUGUGUGAUGUUUGUCUUUGUGUAUGUAGUUAGUGGUGGUGGGGAGAGGAGUUUAAGAAUGUUUAUAUACUUCAGAAAUUCUAAGAAUUAUUACGUCUGUGGCUCUUUUGUUGUUGUUGGCAUCCAGUGAAGAUCCUUCAUGAAAAUAAGAACUCACUCAAACAACUCUCAAGAAAUCCAACACAGUAUUAUUCCAUGUUUGGUGUCUGCAGCUCUCGAUGGUACCCCUGGUUCGCCUCCUGGCUCGCCUCCUGGCUCUCCGUGUCCUGGGCAGACUCAGUAGUCUCAUCUGUGAAAGGGAGCUGUGCUGUCUGUUCUUUGACACCUUAUAAAUGGCUGCAGGUGGGCAGAUAGAAAAGGUGAGAGGGGAGAGCUCAGGGAAUUUUAAACUGGGGAGGGAGAUUUGCUGCUGGAUGUACCUUCUUGCUUCAGAGAUAGAAGGGACUGUGUUCUACAGACUUAAAAAGGAAUCCACCAGCUGGAGUUUGAUCCAUGUAACAGCUGACCCUGAGGAAGCUUGGUAAAAAUGGACAGUGGACUCUCAAAAGUCAGCUGUGUUCUAUUCCCUGAGCAGCUCCUUGCCCAGAGAGGUUGUCACCUGAAAGCCAUUUGAAUCCAUCAGGAGAUAAUUCUUCUAGAGAGAUUGAAGAUCUCCUACAUCUGUCCUGACCCCAAGAGGCUUUGCAGGCUGCUGGAAACAGAAACAAGUCCAACUGCUGCAGUGAGAAAAGGCUACUUCAAAGUAUCUAUAAAGCACAUGCCAUACCAUCACACAGAUGUGGGGGCAGGAUGUGUGUGUGUCUCAGCAAGACAAGCCAAAGGAAUCUACAUGAUGUCUUGUCUCCCAGUGGACUCACGAACACUAUAUUGCCGAACAGUAAAAGGGAUUGAACUCAGGAUCUUGGACUUGUGAGCCAGGUGCCGGAACCACUGAGCUAAAUCCCCGGCCCUGACCUCUGCUUCUUGACCAAUGACAGCUUUCCUCUUCAUCACCAAUCACAGCUUCAAUCCAUUACAACUUUAGUAUAGUGUUAUGUCCUUCUAGAUAAGAUUUAUUUAAGAUACUCAAUCCUAGACUUAUCAUAACAUCCAAUCCAGAAUAAAUCUCAUUUCCUUAAACCUUUUGAAAUCAUCACCUAACUCAACCUUGAAUCUUUUAAAUCCUUUCUGUCAUUCUCUUGGUUAGCUGUAGUGUCUGGUCUCCCUUGCUCACUAGUAAUACACCCACCUUGCUCAACUGUAGAUGCCUCCCUGGUGGGCUUUGACUGGAGCACAUUGACAUCAUCCUUUUUUGCUGGUUGCUUAGUGGGAUGGGUAGUCUACAGACAGCAAGGCCAGCUCAGGGGAAGUCUUGCGUGCACCUCACUCCUGUAGGUGUGAGUACCACAAGGCCUCCCUGGCUUUGGCUCACCUUCUUGAUUCCAUGUGUAGCCAUGACUGUGGCAGAGAAAGCCCAUCCCAACGUCCACACUGCCUUGUUCCUCCUGUUCCUCACCAGCACCCAUUUCCACAGAUGUCAGCCAGGAGAAGAGCGUGUGAAGAGACCUCCUUGCUAGUUUGCUGUGAUAUGCAUUUCACUAUAUCAGGGAGAACACUCAGGAUUUGGAGGUAGUGUUGAUGGUGGGUCUGGAAGUGAAUUAUUUACUGAGCACUGUUGCCCCUCUCUCUUUUUUUACCCUGAAUUUUAUUUUUUCACCUUGGGCCACCAGUUUUUUGUUUUCUUUUGUUUUUGUUUUUGGCUCUCGUGUAUGGGGUUACAGCCCUUUCCUUGUUUGAUUGCUGUCAGUCAUUUUGUAUUGGUUUUAAAUUUUCAUUUGCUACUAAUUUUGUUAGUACUGGGGGAGAGAAGUUCUGCAAUGUUGCUUCUUUUAUUACUGAAGGUGUCUCCUCUCUCCCUAGCUAACCCAAUAAAUAAGCUUGUCUCUCUAUUGGGACACCUUUUUUUUUUCUUUACCUUUUCUGAAGUCCUGCAAGUUCUCCUUUCUUACAGUUUGUGCUUUUGAAAACAAAAGUGAGUUUUGUCUUAGUGCAUGCCUUCUCCAGGUAUCAAAACAGUCAGAUUCUUGAUUUAAUAAAGGAAGGGAAAAGGAGAAACAUAAUGAGAAACUCAUAAUGCAAAUAUCUUCCUGACAUCUGGUUAUGUAAUUAUUAUCUUCUCUCAGUAGGACUGUAUAUCCCACAUCAUAGUCUGUUCCUCAAGCUGCCUGCUCAUGGUCCCAUGCUUAUGGGGCCUCUCUUUAGUGACUGGAUGGUUCUACUUAUAAGGAAUUUUAUCAGUGUGUGGAAUAAAAAUUUGGUCACCAGGAUCUUUGUCUGUUUAGUAUUGUUAUAACACAAAUACUAUAGACUGAAUAAUUUAUGAAUUGAAAUUUAUGUCUCACAGUUCUGGGGGCUGGAAGUCUCAGAUCAGGGAGAUGGUAGGUUUGGGGUCUGAUGUAGAUCAGACUCUUUUUCCAAGAUGGCGCCAUGAACACUGAGCCCUCUGGAAGAGAAGAACAUUGCUUUUCACGUGGCAGAACUGAGGGAGUGAACCCACUCCCACAAAUCCUAAAAAGCCUGAAGAAAGGUAGUAGCAUUAAUUCAUUUAUAAAGACAGAGUCCACAUGGCCUAGACCUGUCCCCCAAAGCCCCACCUCCUAAGACUGCUGAUUAGGGAUUAAGUUGCCAACACAUGGAUUUUGGGGAAGACAUUCAAGCCAUAGUGCCUAGUAAAUUUCAUCCUUUAAACUAGUUCCAUUAUUUGGGACAAUGUCAAAUAAGUCAUGUAUCCUCUCAAGUGACCUUCCAGCAAGCUGAAGCCCAAUGUCAUUUUUCUCUUUUAGCUUAGUCUUCUUUUGAUUAAACAUAUGCAGCUAAUAAUAUUGACAUUUACUUGACAAGGAAAACAAAUAUUUACCCUCCUGAGAACACAGUGUAUAUAAAAACUUGUGGUUUGGAAUGCAUCACUCAGAGUUAAA